GACGUAGGGCGCAAGCGUUGUCCGGAUUUAUUGGGCGUAAAGAGCUCGUAGGCGGCUCGUUGCGUCGGCUGUGAAAACCCGCAGCUCAACUGUGGGCUUGCAGCCGAUACGGGCGGGCUGGAGUUCGGUAGGGGAGACUGGAAUUCCUGGUGUAGCGGUGAAAUGCGCAGAUAUCAGGAGGAACACCGGUGGCGAAGGCGGUUCUCUGGGCCUUACCUGACGCUGAGGAGCGAAAGCGUGGGGAGCGAACAGG
rnacentral:rRNA from 1 species